GAUGAACGCUGGCGGCGUGCCUAAUACAUGCAAGUCGAGCGAACGGACGAGAAGCUUGCUUCUCUGAUGUUAGCGGCGGACGGGUGAGUAACACGUGGAUAACCUACCUAUAAGACUGGGAUAACUUCGGGAAACCGGAGCUAAUACCGGAUAAUAUUUUGAACCGCAUGGUUCAAAAGUGAAAGACGGUCUUGCUGUCACUUAUAGAUGGAUCCGCGCUGCAUUAGCUAGUUGGUAAGGUAACGGCUUACCAAGGCAACGAUGCAUAGCCGACCUGAGAGGGUGAACGGCCACACUGGAACUGAGCCACGGUCCAGACUCCUACGGGAGGCAGCAGUAGGGAAGCUUCCGCAAAGGGCGAAAGCCUGACGGAGCAACGCCGCGUGAGUGAUGAAGGUCUUCGGAUCGUAAAACUCUGUUAUUAGGGAAGAACAUAUGUGUAAGUAACUGUGCACAUCUUGACGGUACCUAAUCAGAAAGCCACGGCUAACUACGUG
rnacentral:rRNA from 1 species